rnacentral:rRNA from 1 species
GUCUACGGCCAUGCCACCUCAAUGUGCCCGAUCUCAUCUGAUCUAGGAAGAUAAGCAGGGUUGGGCCUGGUUAGUACUAGCAUGGGUGAUCACCUUGGAAUACUAGUUGCUAUAGGUG